GUGUAAUUUGACAAAUUUACAUGUAAACAUUAAGGAGUGAGGAAGUUAAAACGAUACCAAUCGAGUUUUAGAGCUUUGGUGACCAUUUUAAAAGAAUAUAUCAUAAAUUCAAAGGUAAGUCUAUCGUACUGCAUUGUCUUAAAUGAAUUCUCAGCUGAAAUACGGCAAUAAAUGGAUCAUAAACGUAGCUAAAUUUACUGUUGACAACGAGGUUGACAGAUCCAUUGCUUUUUUGCCUUGAAUAGCUUUACCAUAGUCAUUUUACCUUAAAAUGUAGCUACUGAGGAUAUCUCUAAGAGAUUUACACAGAUUAUUUGCACAAUCUUACGAUUUAAUACUUUUAACCUAGGGGUCUUAAUCAAAAGCCUUUGUUUGGUUUCUAGUAGACCUCUAGCCCUAUUUCUGUAAUUCUAUAUCGUAUAUAUACAUAUAUAUAUAUUUUUUCUGUAUGUAUGGGCGAAAACUUUAAAAAAUAAAUAAAAAUAAAAUAAUUUAAUCAUGCUGAUAACAUGAAAAUCCUUGUGCCAUUCUAUACUUGGCAUAAUCUCUACAUCAAUAGUUCACCAGUUCACUAAUAUAAAUUCAAUAUAUUUUUGAACCAGUCCAUAUAUUAUUAUACACAAUGUAGUAUAGUUAAUUUGACCAUAUUUGAGAAGUAAGGGUGUAUUUCAUUACACAGACACUGCUGAAUUUUAGGUUACAUGCCAUUGGAUUGAUAUAUAAAAAAACACUUGUAAAACACACACAUUAUUUUUAUCUUGUUGAUAGAAUAGUUAUUUGCAGUAUACUAACUGUUGGCAUACUCUAUUUCAGGACUAUCAAUUGUUUUUGUCACUGACAGUCUUUGAAAUACAAUCUUGCUCCGUGGCCUUUACUGACAAGUUGGCUUUUACUACAUAUGUGGCACUGACACUUCUUUAAUUAAUGCACCAGUCAACGUAAACCCCCGAACUGGGGAAGGGCAGGGAUUUUGACUUGGAGGGGUAGUAAAAGAGCGAAAUUGGCCCCACCCCCAGGGACAUCAAUGUCCCCUGCAUGUCUGUCAACCCCAGGAAAAUAGUUUUGUAUAAUCAUAGAUCAGCAAUAGAAAAUCAAAUUCAUUUAUGUUAUUGUAUUUAAACUUUUCUUGUCAAGAAAACUAAAACAGCAACACAGGAUAUAUAUGUUAACCACUGUCCAAGUCUCCCAUCAUCGGGGCCAAAUUUAUAAUCAAAACUGACCACUUUCCCCGAUAAACCUUCCGCCCUCCCUGGUUGGGGGCAGGGAUUUACAUUGACUGGUGCAUAACUAGAUGAUUGCAUAAAGCAUUGCAUGGAAGUUGAUUUAUAAUUAGUUUAGGAAUAAACUCACACUUUCAUUAUAAUGGUUGAUCGAAUAUAUCAAAUGCAUUUGAUUGGUUGAUGGUCCCUUACUGUCGUUCCAAUUGAAGUGUUCCUCAAAUAUUGAUUCAAUACAUUACCUCGGGCUGACCAAUUCAUUUCAUCAAGUUCCUCGAGAUAUUCAUACACUUCCUGUGAAAGAGCCAAUUCCAAUGUCAAAAAUUUUUUUCGGAAAUAACUUUUUUUAAACAAAAUAUUGCAAAUUUGUCCC
rnacentral:lncRNA from 1 species